CGCAAUCGCAGUGUGUCUCUGAGAUGUCUAGCCAUGAGAAAGCAGAGACUGCUUCUCUGCCCUGUAAACUUAGCUAACAGCUACGUCGCUGCAGAGGAUUUCUCUCUGUAUAGCAGCUAGGUCGCCAGUUGCUGCAGAGGAAUUAUCUUUGCUCAAAAAGAAGAUGAAACGUCCCGAGAUAACUACUUCUUGAUAUUCAAUCAUAGUAGAUGCAUGAUCUUUCUAAUGAUAUGAAGAAGUUAGACGCACGCAUUUGUGAAAGCUAGUGAGAUGAACACAGAAGCUGUUGAAUAAUUUUCGUUCUAAAGAGAAUAUUGAAGUUGGAGUUGAACUGAUUAAUUAAACGAAUGAUCCAGAUCUAUGCUUGGAAAUAAUGAGCCUUCUAACAAAGGAAAUGAAUAUCCAAUAUUUAGAUUAGUGAUGAGAGCAUUGAUGAUGAUGAUGAUGAAAGGCAACUAUAUAGAGGUCGUGUGCUCUUGAGUCUUUACUAAACCAUUGUGACAAACUGGAAUUUUUACCCCACUCGACAUCGGAUCUUGCAAACUUGUGCAUGAGUCAGGCCAUUCUGAAAUUCAAGCACAUUUAAAAGAAGUUAUGGAUAAAUUUGCAAGUCUUGGUAAGAGAAUGCCAGAGCCUCUAGAACAGUAAGUAGAAACAAGAGAUGGUACAACAGAUGCGAAUGAAAUUAAGCAAGAAAUGGGUAAUGAUGAAGAAGAAAUACAGACAGUGAGCAAGUUUCUCUGAAGCCAACUGAAGAUAGGUAGUUUUGUCAAUAAAUUAUUUAGUAAUUAAAAAAUAAGAGAUUAAUAU